UACGAAGGGGGCUAGCGUUGCUCGGAAUCACUGGGCGUAAAGCGCACGUAGGCGGCUUCUUAAGUCAGGGGUGAAAUCCUGGAGCUCAACUCCAGAACUGCCUUUGAUACUGAGGAGCUUGAGUCCGGGAGAGGUGAGUGGAACUGCGAGUGUAGAGGUGAAAUUCGUAGAUAUUCGCAAGAACACCAGUGGCGAAGGCGGCUCACUGGCCCGGUACUGACGCUGAGGUGCGAAAGCGUGGGUAGGCAAACAGG
rnacentral:rRNA from 1 species